rnacentral:rRNA from 1 species
UACACUCCUACGGGAGGCAGCAGUGGGGAAUUUUGGACAAUGGGCGAAAGCCUGAUCCAGCAAUGCCGCGUGAGUGAAGAAGGCCUUCGGGUUGUAAAGCUCUUUUGUCAGGGAAGAAACGGUGAGAGCUAAUAUCUUUUGCUAAUGACGGUACCUGAAGAAUAAGCACCGGCUAACUACGUGCCAGCAGCCGCGGUAAUACGUAGGGUGCAAGCGUUAAUCGGAAUUACUGGGCGUAAAGCGUGCGCAGGCGGUUUUGUAAGUCUGAUGUGAAAUCCCCGGGCUCAACCUGGGAAUUGCAUUGGAGACUGCAAGGCUAGAAUCUGGCAGAGGGGGGUAGAAUUCCACGUGUAGCAGUGAAAUGCGUAGAUAUGUGGAGGAACACCGAUGGCGAAGGCAGCCCCCUGGGUCAAGAUUGACGCUCAUGCACGAAAGCGUGGGGAGCAAACAGGAUUAGAAACCCUAGUAGUCCCAUGAU